GACGAACGCUGGCGGCGUGCCUAAUACAUGCAAGUCGAGCGAGCUUGCCUAUAGAAAUUCUUCGGAAUGGACAUAGAUACAAGCUAGCGGCGGAUGGGUGAGUAACGCGUGGGUAACCUGCCCUUAAGUCUGGGAUACCAUUUGGAAACAGAUGCUAAUACCGGAUAAAAGCUACUUUCGCAUGAAAGAAGUUUAAAAGGCGGCGUAAGCUGUCGCUAAAGGAUGGACCUGCGAUGCAUUAGCUAGUUGGCAAGGUAACGGCUUACCAAGGCGAUGAUGCAUAGCCGAGUUGAGAGACUGAUCGGCCACAUUGGGACUGAGACACGGCCCAA
rnacentral:rRNA from 1 species